rnacentral:rRNA from 1 species
UACGUAGGGGGCGAGCGUUGUCCGGAUUCAUUGGGCGUAAAGCGCGCGUAGGCGGCUUCGUAAGUCGGCCGUGAAAUCUCCAGGCUCAACUUGGAGGGGUCGGGCGAGACUGCGGAGCUCGAGGCGGGUAGAGGGCAGUGGAAUUCCGGGUGUAGUGGUGGAAUGCGUAGAGAUCCGGAGGAACACCCGUGGCGAAAGCGGCUCUCUGGAACGGUACUGACGCUGAGACGCGAAAGCGUGGGGAGCGAACAGG